rnacentral:lncRNA from 1 species
UGGUGCGCUUGAGCGCUCCUGGGAAUGCGAUGUCGAGAUAACAGAGGACGAAGCUAGAAUCUGGGACUUGGAAACGCCAGAGAGCCUGGAACGGCGACAGGGAUUUGUGAGUAUAGAAUUCCGGUAGUAAAGUGACACUCUUACAAACUCUGGCGGUCCAGCGUGGCGGUGGGUUGUCCAGAGUGGCACUUCUAGUGGCACAGAGGCUCCACCAUAUCCAUGCAAACGUUGGCUAGCCCCCAAAAUCUGAGCUCCUAUUGGCCUCUCCAUCUCCUUAUCUUUUCCUGUGAACUCCGCCAAGUUAGUAGCAGUAGCAGCAAGGUUGCGGGCUUACCAUUCUCAAGGUUUGGAGCUCAGGAGCUCCCCCUUUCUCCUCAAGAGAUGUCGACCAGUAUCUCCUCCAGCCAGUGUCAUUCAAUGCUGGAUCCCAGGCAGAGGUACGCAGUCGACUUCUAU